rnacentral:rRNA from 1 species
UUUAAAAUUAAUUAAAAGCGACGGGCAAUAUGUAUAUAUUAUUUUAAAAUAUUAAAAUUUUAAAUCUAUAAAAUUUUAAUAUUAAAUCCAUUUUCAAUUAAAUAUUAAAAUUUAAAAUUCAAUUUAAAUUUAUUUAAUGUAUUUCAUUUUUAAACCUUAUAUUUUUAAUAUAUUAUGAUUUGAAAUAAAUUAAUAUUUAUAAAAAUAAAAUUUAUUAAUUUUUUAUUAUAAAAUUAAUUAAACAACAAUAUAUAAUUUAAUUAAUAUAAGUAUAUUUUAAUGUGUAUUAUCAAAUUAAUAAACAAAAUCCUCUAAUUUUAAAUAAUACUACCAAAUUAAUUAAUUUUCAUAAAAAAAAAUACUAAUUAAAAAAAAUUAAAUUUUUAUAAUA